UCCUACGGGGGGCAGCAGUGGGGAAUAUUGGACAAUGGGCGAAAGCCUGAUCCAGCGACGCCGCGUGGGUGAAGAAGGCCUGCGGGUUGUAAAGCCCUUUCGGUGGGGAAGAAAAGCCUCGACCUAAUACGUCGGGGUCUUGACGUAACCCAAGAAAGAAGCACCGGCUAACUCUGUGCCAGCAGCCGCGGUAAUACAGAGGGUGCGAGCGUUAAUCGGAAUUACUGGGCGUAAAGCGCGCGUAGGCGGCUGUGGAAGUCGGAUGUGAAAGCACCAGGCUGAACCUGGGAACUGCACUCGAGACUGCAUUGCUAGAGUAUGGGAGAGGGAAGUGGAAUUUCCGGUGUAGCGGUGAAAUGCGUAGAUAUCGGAAGGAACAUCAGUGGCGAAAGCGACUUCCUGGACCAAUACUGACGCUCAUGUGCGAAAGCGUGGGGAGCAAACAGGAUUAGAUACCCCGGUAGUCCA
rnacentral:rRNA from 1 species